rnacentral:rRNA from 1 species
CUACGGGUCGCUCCAGUGGGGAAUAUUGGACAAUGGGGGAAACCCUGAUCCAGCAAUGCCGCGUGUGUGAAGAAGGCCUGCGGGUUGUAAAGCACUUUCGGUUGGGAGGACUGCUUCCAGCACUAAUAUUGUUGGAAGUUGACGUUACCUUCAGAAGAAGCACCGGCUAACUCCGUGCCAGCAGCCGCGUUAAUACGGAGGGUGCAAGCGUUAAUCGGAAUUACGGGGCGUAAAGCGCGCGUAGGCGGCUAGAUCAGUCGGGUGUGAAAGCCCCGGGCUUAACCUGGGAACUGCAUCCGAUACUGUCUAGCUUGAGUACAGGAGAGGAGAGUGGAAUUCCACAUGUAGCGGUGAAAUGCGUAGAUAUGUGGAGGAACACCAAUGGCGAAGGCAGCUCUCUGGCCUGAUACUGACGCUGAGGUGCGAAAGCGUGGGGAGCAAACAGGAUUAGAUACCCUCGUAGUC